UCAAUUCCAUACGUGUUAUAAUUCAUUUUCGCAAAAUGAGUUUUUUUAAACUUCAUUCAAUUUGUUACUUCUGAGUUACUAUCAGAAUAAGUUGUGGCAGAAAUAUGACUUGAAGGGUAAAAUCGGAACCUCUGACGUAGAAUAAAUCCAAAAACAAUCAUUUUUUCAUUAAUCACCAGGGCGCAAUUUUCGCGUUUUCAGGAGAAGAAAUAUGACUUGUAACUGGUAACUUGUUUGAUGACUAGUGAGGAAAUGACUGAUACAAUAUUUGGGUGUGCAGCAGGCCAAAACACAUAUUAUAUUAUCAAUGCAGCUAUGAAUGUUGUGGUGAAUGUUUCAGAAUAUCAGCCGAGAUUGUCUUUUGUAAUAUCCAAAUCGUUGAAACGUUUCUUCAGCUUCAGCUUCGGAAGGUUGGAUUUAUCCAGGAAGUUGUUGGAACAGUUGUAUUGAAACUGGCUGAGAUCCAUUCAAAACAUUAGAAAAAUUUGAAAAUCAAGCAUCCGAUUGGAACUUAAUUUUUUCAAUAAAGGCACCGCAUUCAG